UUUCAGACGGAACUCAGUGGCAAUGUGGAAGAAGAAAGAAGAAUAAUGAAUAUUGAAUUAACAUAAAACGUGAACAUUGAUGGCUGAGAGUGAAUUUUAUCUACAAUAUAGCAGUGUUAAACUAUUAUAUGUAUUAUCUCGAUGAUACUUGGUGUAUUUCACUGUUUCAUUAUGGCAGGAUAAU